UGCGCCUUGCCAGCCCGCUCAGAAACUCAAAGGAAUUUGACGGGGGCCCGCACAAGCGGAGGAACAUGUGGUUUAAUUCGAUGAUACGCGAGGAACCUUACCUGGGCUAGAACGCAUUCGGAAUCAGGCCGAAAGGCCUGCGCCAGCGAUGGCCGCUUGCGAGGUGCUGCAUGGUUGUCGUCAGCUCGUGCCGUGAGGUGUCGGGUUAAGUCCCAUAACGAGCGCAACCCCUACUGCUAGUUGCCAGCGGGUCAUGCCGGGGACUCUAGCGGAACUGCCAGCGUAAGCUGCGAGGAAGGUGGGGAUGACGUCAAAUCAGCACGGCCCUUACGUCCAGGGCUACACACGUGUUACAAUGGCCGGUACAGAGGGCAGCCACCCCGCGAGGGGGCGCGAAUCCCGAAAGCCGGUCCCAGUUCGGAUCGGAGUCUGCAACCCGACUCCGUGAAGCUGGAUUCGCUAGUAAUCGCGCAUCAGCCACGGCGCGGUGAAUACGUUCCCGGGCCUU
rnacentral:rRNA from 1 species